UCGCUCCUCACACAACGAGGCUCUUUAAGCCCCGGCGCGCGACACAGAGCAGGCAUUCAGAGCGCGAGCGAGGGGGCCUGAACCGACGGACUCUCGCGCUGGGCGGGCGACCUGCUUCAGUGCAGUUUUUCAGUAGAUCUAUAUCCUUGGGAAGACGGCGGAUGGAUUCAUUCUGAAAGAACGGAGAUAGUGAAAGAAUAAGCGUGUUGAAUUUCCUCUGUAGGACCUCAAAUACAUAUUCAACAACAACAAUAAUAAUAAACAUUGGCAACUGUUUUAGAGAGGAAAAAAGGCAGAUUUUAGAG